UCGCUGUACUACUUCUCUACGCAAUGCGAAUUUACAUGACUGUCUUCCAUAUCCUGAACACACUUGCAAUAUUCACUGUAAAUCUGGAUAUAGACUAAGUGCCAACGUAUCCCUUAUGUGUGAUCACUAUGGACAAUGGGUUCCAUCUCCAGUUUCCUUAUGCACAGAAAUAUUCUGCACGUCAGCUAUAAAACAUGUCAAAUUAUCAUCAAGUUGCACACAAAAAGCUGGUGAAUCUUGCAAAUUCUCUUGUAAUGAUGGAUAUACCCCGACAACUUCAGAGAGCUUACUUUGUACAGAUAUGGGCACCUGGAGCCACAACACCAGAAAUUUAUGCUUACGAAACACAUCCUCACAACACGAUAGCGAAGA